UUGAUUUGCAUUUUCCUAUAGGUUUGGUUUUGGACGCAUCCAAAACCAUUCUCAUGAGCUAUGAAUUGCCUAAUUUGUUUGCAUUUGUCUAGGGAUUGGUUUUGGAUGCAUCCAAAACCAUUUUCAUUAGCGCUAAAAUCGGCAAAUUGAUUUCCAUUUUCCUUAGCUGAUGCUAUCUUAACCAAAAUUAUUGUAAAUUAUAGCAUAUUCGUACCAUAGAUUCCUUGUAUAUUAUUGCCUUUAUUGUAUAUUAUGUAUCUUAAUAAAGUGGG